rfam:Bradyrhizobium erythrophlei strain GAS478 genome assembly, contig: Ga0132009_11
AAGAGCGUGGUGCGGGAAAUCCGCACGCCACGUUCUGUGGGAGCCGGGGGCGGGCGACCGCCUCCGGCGACCCGGU